CGAAGGCUUCGGCCUUAGUGGCGCACGGGUGCGUAACGCGUGGGAAUCUGCCCUUGGGUUCGGAAUAACAGCGAGAAAUUGCUGCUAAUACCGGAUGAUGACGUAAGUCCAAAGAUUUAUCGCCCAAGGAUGAGCCCGCGUAGGAUUAGCUAGUUGGUGAGGUAAAGGCUCACCAAGGCGACGAUCCUUAGCUGGUCUGAGAGGAUGAUCAGCCACACUGGGACUGAGACACGGCCCAGACUCCUACGGGAGGCAGCAGUGGGGAAUAUUGGACAAUGGGCGAAAGCCUGAUCCAGCAAUGCCGCGUGAGUGAUGAAGGCCUUAGGGUUGUAAAGCUCUUUUACCCGGGAUGAUAAUGACAGUACCGGGAGAAUAAGCUCCGGCUAACUCCGUGCCAGCAGCCGCGGUAAUACGGAGGGAGCUAGCGUUAUUCGGAAUUACUGGGCGUAAAGCGCACGUAGGCGGCUUUGUAAGUUAGAGGUGAAAGCCUGGAGCUCAACUCCAGAAUUGCCUUUAAGACUGCAUCGCUUGAAUCCAGGAGAGGUGAGUGGAAUUCCGAGUGUAGAGGUGAAAUUCGUAGAUAUUCGGAAGAACACCAGUGGCGAAGGCGGCUCACUGGACUGGUAUUGACGCUGAGGUGCGAAAGCGUG
rnacentral:rRNA from 1 species